GGGUCGCUAGCUCAACUGGCAGAGCAUUCGGCUGGCAGCGCGUCCGCCCUCCGCUGACGCGGUCAUGGAGGCGCUUCCUUCUCCUCCUUCUCAUCGAAGGGUUCGGGGUUCGAGUCCCCGGCGACCCA
rnacentral:tRNA from 1 species